rnacentral:rRNA from 1 species
GGAGCGAAAAGCGUGGGGAGCGAACAGGAUAAGAUACCCUGGUAGUCCACGCCGUAAACGUUGGGAACUAGAUGUAGGGUCCAUUCCACGGAUUCUGUGUCGCAGCUAACGCAUUAAGUUCCCCGCCUGGGGAGUACGGCCGCAAGGCUAAAACUCAAAGGAAUUGACGGGGGCCCGCACAAGCGGCGGAGCAUGCGGAUUAAUUCGAUGCAACGCGAAGAACCUUACCAAGGCUUGACAUAUACCGGAAAAGCGUAGAAAUACGCUCCCCGCAAGGUCGGUAUACAGGUGGUGCAUGGUNGUCGUCAGCUCGUGUCGUGAGAUGUUGGGUUAAGUCCCGCAACGAGCGCAACCCUCGUCCUAUGUUGCCAGCACGUAAUGGUGGGAACUCAUGGGAGACUGCCGGGGUCAACUCGGAGGAAGGUGGGGAUGACGUCAAAUCAUCAUGCCCCUUAUGUCUUGGGCUUCACGCAUGCUACAAUGGCCGAUACAGAGGGCUGCAAUACCGCAAGGUGGAGCGAAUCCCAAAAAGUCGGUCUCAGUUCGGAUUGAGGUCUGCAACUCGACCUCAUGAAGUCGGAGUCGCUAGUAAUCGUAGAUCAGCAACGCUACGGUGAAUACGUUCCCGGGCCUUGUACACACCGCCCGUCAAGUCACGAAAGUCGGUAACACCCGAAGCCGGUGGCCUAACCGUAAGGAGGGAGCCGUCGAAG